rnacentral:lncRNA from 1 species
CUCUUUGACCAGGCUAGAGCGCCAGCGCUCCUCUGACCCGGCACACUUUGGCAAAGUUGCAGUGGCCUGUUUGCUUAGGCACUGAAGUGGAUGACCCAAGUUAGGAUGACAACUUGCAGAGAACGCGGAUGAGACCUUCAGUUUGUGCCCACACUCAUUUGCAGCAACCCUAACAGAGAUUGCGAAGAUUUUCAAAGUGGGGCACCUCGAUUUCUCGAAUCUGUGGUGUGGCGAAUAUCCGUGUUCCUCCUGCUUAACUAGCCUGUUUGAAGGCACAGUUCAUUCUCGAGCAAUUCGUCACCUCCUGGGGGUCUUCUCUUCCCGUCUACAGGAGAGUGUGACUUCAGAAAGAACUUCGGAUUGGCCAAGGUCUGAUUCUAUUUAUUCUAAAGACAGAGUUGGAGAUGGGCUACCAUUGGUGUUGAUUGAGAUGACAAGCAGUCACCUGAGCCCAUACAGCUGUGGGAGAAAGUGCUUGCUGCCAAGCUUGAUGACCUAAAUUGAAUACCUGGAACCUACACGACAGAAAGAGAGAGCUGACUGCUGAAAGAUGUCCUCAGAUCUUCACAUGUGCACAGUGGCACCUAUCCAACCAUGCACAUAGUAUAUUAAAAAUUAUUUUUUAAAAAA